CAAUGAAGUUGUUGUUUCACGGAUUGAUUGUGUCAACAUCCAUGGAGUCCUUACCAUGUGCCAGUAACUGGGCAAAGUGCUGAGGACACAAAAGUAAAAAGGACAGCCUGUGUCCUCCUUCAGAUCUCGUGACCCUGGCAAGCGGGCAGCUGGGUCCCCGCAGGACAGAGGUCUGGGAGAAUUGCUGGUGUUUGCGCACGUGCAAGUGCCUGCAGACUGCAGAGUGCAAAGCCAAGAAGCGGCAGAGGAUGGAGACCAGAGGCAAAGCAAGGAUUCAGAUUAAUGGACAGCCCUGUCGGAGUCAAACAAAGACCCAGCCUGGGAAGCCAACACCAGGAGCUGACAACCGUGCAAAGCACCGGGCCAUGGGGCAGUGUUCCAUUUUGUUUCCUCUGGACAGCUGGCAAGAUGGAGUCCCUCGGAGGACUUAACCUAGUGCUUUCACGUCAAAGGAGAAAAAAGGAGUCAUUCCCCCAUACAACGUGGAAGACCCAAAGGUUCAGAGGACCCGUCAUCUGUGUAGAGUGGAUGGGCUCUUCUGACUGGGGGGUGUCUCGGCUCCAGAGCUCACCACUGUCCUGUACCUGGGGAAGAAGCAUCCAUGCAUAUAAAUUAGGCUGA
rnacentral:lncRNA from 1 species